UACAGAGGUCUCAAGCGUUGUUCGGAUUCAUUGGGCGUAAAGGGUGCGUAGGUGGCGUCGUAAGUCGGGUGUGAAAUUUCGGAGCUUAACUCCGAAACUGCAUUCGAUACUGCGGUGCUUGAGGACUGGAGAGGAGACUGGAAUUACGGUGUAGCAGUGAAAUGCGUAGAUAUCGUAAGGAAGACCAGUGGCGAAGGCGAGUCUCUGGACAGUUACCCGACGCUGAGGCACGAAGGUCAGGGGAGCAAACGGG
rnacentral:rRNA from 1 species